ensembl:misc_RNA 7SK 7SK RNA
GGAUGUAAGAGCUAUAUGACUGCAACAUCUCUCACUCCAUUGAUCACCAGGGUGCCUUUGGCUGAUUUGACUGGCUAGGCAGGUGUCUGCUUCCUCCCUCACCUCUCCAUGUACAUCCCACCCGAAGCUGCACAUUCAGUCAGAGGAUCUUCCCUGGUAGAAAAGGACCAUUCUUUGGCCAAGGAUAUAUGAGUAGCUGUGCUCCUCUGCUAGAAUCUCCAAACAAGCUCCCAGAAAGUGGGGCUAUUUCUUAACCCUAUUAAAGCUUUGUAUCUUGGUGUCAUUUGGGAAUAGGGCAAUGCAUAAAUUUAGCAUAGUAGUAACCUUUCACAUAGAGGUUAGAAAGAUUUG